GACGAACGCUGGCGGCGCGCCUAACACAUGCAAGUCGAACGAGCGAGAGAGAGCUUGCUUUCUCGAGCGAGUGGCGAACGGGUGAGUAACGCGUGAGGAACCUGCCUCAAAGAGGGGGACAACAGUUGGAAACGACUGCUAAUGCCGCAUAAGCCCACGACCCGGCAUCGGGUAGAGGGAAAAGGAGCAAUCCGCUUUGAGAUGGCCUCGCGUCCGAUUAGCUAGUUGGUGAGGUAACGGCCCACCAAGGCGACGAUCGGUAGCCGGACUGAGAGGUUGAACGGCCACAUUGGGACUGAGACACGGCCCAGACUCCUACGGGAGGCAGCAGUGGGGAAUAUUGCACAAUGGGGGAAACCCUGAUGCAGCGACGCCGCGUGGAGGAAGAAGGUCUUCGGAUUGUAAACUCCUGUUGUUGAGGAAGAUAAUGACGGUACUCAACAAGGAAGUGACGGCUAACUACGUG
rnacentral:rRNA from 1 species